rfam:Dipodomys ordii contig_97527, whole genome shotgun sequence.
UGGGACAUGGCUUAGUGGUAGAGUGCUUGCCUAGCAUGCAUGAAGCCCUGGGUUCAAUUUCUCAGUACCAUAU